UACGGAGGGGGCUAGCGUUGUUCGGAAUUACUGGGCGUAAAGCGCGCGUAGGCGGUUUGCACAGUCAGGCGUGAAAUCCCGGGGCUCAACCCCGGAACUGCGUUUGAUACUGGUGAACUAGAGGACGGGAGAGGGUAGUGGAAUUCCCAGUGUAGAGGUGAAAUUCGUAGAUAUUGGGAAGAACACCGGUGGCGAAGGCGGCUACCUGGACCGUACCUGACGCUGAGGUGCGAAAGCGUGGGGAGCAAAC
rnacentral:rRNA from 1 species